UCAUGGCUCAGAACGAACGCUGGCGGCGUGCCUAACACAUGCAAGUCGAGCGAGAAAGUCCCCGCAAGGGGAUGAGUAAAGCGGCGAACGGGUGAGUAACACGUGGGCAACCUGCCCUUCAGUUAGGAAUAACCCCGCGAAAGCGGGGCUAAUACCGGAUGACGUCCUUUGGGGGCAUCCUCGGGGGACCAAAGGGGGCGAGCGAAAGCGGCUCCCGCUGAAGGAUGGGCCUGCGGCUGAUUAGCUAGUUGGUGGGGUAGCGGCCUACCAAGGCGACGAUCAGUAGCCGACCUGAGAGGGUGACCGGCCACACUGGGACUGAGACACGGCCCAGACUCCUACGGGAGGCAGCAGUGGGGAAUAUUGCGCAAUGGGCGAAAGCCUGACGCAGCCGACGCCGCGUGGGUGAUGAAGGCCUUCGGGUCGUAAAACCCUGUCGGGUGGAACGAAUUCCGCCUUGCUAAUACCAAGGCGGUUUGACGGUACCACCGAAGGAAGCCCCGGCUAACUACGUGCCAGCCGCCGC
rnacentral:rRNA from 1 species